rnacentral:tRNA from 1 species
AUAGUGUAAAGGUUUAUCACAUUGGACUCUGAAUCCGAAGAUCGCCGUUCGAUUC